rnacentral:rRNA from 1 species
CAGCCGCCGCGGGAAUACGAAGGGGGCUAGCGUUGUUCGGAAUUACUGGGCGUAAAGCGCACGUAGGCGGAUACUUAAGUCAGGGGUGAAAUCCCGGGGCUCAACCCCGGAACUGCCUUUGAUACUGGGUAUCUCGAGUCCGGAAGAGGUGAGUGGAAUUCCGAGUGUAGAGGUGAAAUUCGUAGAUAUUCGGAGGAACACCAGUGGCGAAGGCGGCUCACUGGUCCGGUACUGACGCUGAGGUGCGAAAGCGUGGGGAGCAAACAGGAUUAGAUACCCCGGUAGUCCCUGUCUCUUAUAC